AUAAGAAUGAGAGCAGAUUUUGGAGCUUCAUUAUGACGUCUUCGAUUCCUCUCAUGCCAGAUGGUAUAAACGGAGGUUUGGAAUAUUUGGCUAUAAGUAGCAUGUACUUCACAUUUUCGCAAACAAGUUUUUAUUUAGUUUUAUUCCACAGACACUGUGUUCUAGACCUUUUGUAAUCCGGAUUUCUCUUUAUCUAUUCAGUAUUUGUAUUCAGCAUUUGUUUAUUGAUUUCGUUUACUGUUGUUCAUUCUGUUAUCAUCCUGCUGUUACACUGUUGUUAUCAUGUUUUCAAGUUGUUCAACGUUUAUGCUUUCUAUUAUGAUGUCUGAGUAGUGAAUAUGUUUCUGAGGAUGGGUUAGAGUAGUGUAGAAUUCUCAGUAUGCUAGGUUAUUGAGUAUUGAUUAAUAGAUCCCUUCUUGAUUAGUUUUUCUUAAUGCCUAUUGCUUUCUGAUCAAGUGGAAUUUGAGCCUAGACAUUUUUGCGCCCAAAAGGUGUUCGAUGAAAUGUCUGAACCACUAAUACCAGAGAUUCGUGACCCUGUUCCAAGGUAUUGGUUGUAGGGAGCGUUUUAGCUUUAACUUGUUGAUUUGUAAUGGCUGUUAGGUUAGCUCUCGUCAAUGGUGAUUGAGUCUGGGACUAGGUUAACUUGAGGGUCUCUGUUGCGGUGGUACUUAGAUUUGGUUAAUGAACUUGUUA
rnacentral:sRNA from 1 species